GAUGAACGCUGGCGGCGUGCUUAACACAUGCAAGUCGAACGAAGCACUUUGAAAGCUGGCUUUUGGAGUGACUGAGCGGCGGACGGGUGAGUAACGCGUGGGUAACCUGCCUUAUACAGGGGGAUAACAGUUGGAAACGACUGCUAAUACUGCAUAAGCUCACAGUGCCGCAUGGCACAGUGUGAAAAACUCCGGUGGUAUAAGAUGCACCCGCGUCUGAUUAGCUAGUUGGUGAGGUAACGGCUCACCAAGGCGACGAUCAGUAGCCGGCUUGAGAGAGUGAUCGGCCACAUUGGGACUGAGACACGGCCCAAACUCCUACGGGAGGCAGCAGUGGGGAAUAUUGCACAAUGGGGGAAACCCUGAUGCAGCAACGCCGCGUGAGUGAUGACGGUCUUCGGAUUGUAAAGCUCUGUCUUUGGGGACGAUAAUGACGGUACCCAAGGAGGAAGCCACGGCUAACUACGUGCCAGCCGCCGCAGUAAAAC
rnacentral:rRNA from 1 species